AACGAACGCUGGCGGCGUGCCUAACACAUGCAAGUCGAACGUGAUUAGAGAGCUUGCUCUCUAUGAAAGUGGCGCACGGGUGAGUAACGCGUAGAUAAUCUACCUGAUGAUCCGGGAUAACACUUCGAAAGGGGUGCUAAUACCAGAUAAGCCCACGGGGUCCUUGGACUCUGCGGGAAAAGGAGGGGACUUUCGGGCCUUCCGUCAUCAGAUGAGUCUGCGUACCAUUAGCUAGUUGGUAGGGUAAAGGCCUACCAAGGCGACGAUGGUUAGCUGGUCUGAGAAGGUGAUCAGCCACACUGGAACUGAGACACGGUCCGGACUCCUACGGGAGGCAGCAGUGGGGAAUUUUGCGCAAUGGGGGAAACCCUGACGCAGCAGCGCCGCGUGAGUGAUGAAGGCCCUUGGGUCGUAAAGCUCUGACAGAGGGAAAGAAGUGUAUCGUGGCUAAUAUCCACGAUACUUGACGGUACCCUCAAAGGAAGCACCGGCUAACUCCGUGCCAGCCGCCGCAGUAAGAC
rnacentral:rRNA from 1 species